rnacentral:rRNA from 1 species
CGUAAUAACAGAAACUAACCAGGAUUCCCUUAGUAACGGCGAGUGAACUGGGAUACCAAUAUAUUUAUGCGUCUCUGGCGCAUAUUUUUAGCCCGUCGAUACUAUCCUAGCGUAUUACCGGUUUCGGCCGGUAGCCCAAUACGCGGGAAUUGUAGCAUCGUAAUAAAAUAUACACCAUGCCUGCGUCGCAAACGUAUAUACACGUAUACUCACACACACACACAUACUCUCGUACGCGUACACACCCCUUGCAAACACACAGCGCUCCCGCGUUGGAAAGCAAGUCUAUAUCCUCUUUGGAUAUGCCAUAGAGUGUGACAGCCACGUUUGAAACACCCUACGUACCGUACACACACAUACGUAAAAAAUACGCGCUGCUUCGCAUACGCAUACCGUAUAUAACCUGAGUCGAGUUAUUU